AGAUUAAUCUGCAGUAUACCGC
rnacentral:snRNA from 1 species